CAGGGAUUGCCUUAGUAACGGCGAGUGAAGCGGCAACAGCUCAAAUUUGAAAGCUGGCCCUUUCAGGGUCCGCAUUGUAAUUUGUAGAGGAUGAUUCGGCGAGGGCUCCCGCCUAAGUCCCCUGGAACGGGGCGUCAUAGAGGGUGAGAAUCCCGUAUGCGGUGGGCUGCCUUAGCCAUGUGAAUCUCCUUCGACGAGUCGAGUUGUUUGGGAAUGCAGCUCUAAAUGGGAGGUAAAUUUCUUCUAAAGCUAAAUACCGGCCAGAGACCGAUAGCGCACAAGUAGAGUGAUCGAAAGAUGAAAAGCACUUUGGAAAGAGAGUUAAAAAGUACGUGAAAUUGUUGAAAGGGAAGCGCUUGCAACCAGACUUGUCCGCAGUUGCUCAGCCGGUCUCCUGACCGGCGUACUCUUCUGCGGCCAGGCCAGCAUCAGUUCGGGCGGUCGGAUAAAGACCUCGGGAAUGUAGCUCCUCUCGGGGAGUGUUAUAGCCCGGGGUGGAAUGCGGCCAGCCUGGACUGAGGAUCUCGCUUCGGCAAGGAUGCUGGCGUAAUGGUUGUAAGCGGCCCGUCUUGAAACACGGACCAAGGAGUCUAACAUCUAUGCGAGUGUUUGGGUGUCAAACCCAUACGCGUAAUGAAAGUGAACGGAGGUGGGAACCCGCAAGGGUGCACCAUCGGCCGAUCCUGAUGUCUUCGGAUGGAUUUGAGCAAGAGCAUAGCUGUUGGGACCCGAAAGAUGGUGAACUAUGCCUGAAUAGGGUGAAGCCAGAGGAAACUCUGGUGGAGGCUCGCAGCGGUUCUGACGUGCAAAUCGAUCGUCAAAUUUGGGUAUAGGGGCGAAAGACUAAU
rnacentral:rRNA from 1 species